UUCACUUUCAGUCUCCUUCUUCGGCUCUGGCGCUGCCACUGGCUCUUCCUGUGCUAAUGUGGUUGUGGCAGCUGCAAUGGCUGCAGGGGUCACAGCAGCUGCAGCAGCUGCAGCCACAGCCUUUUCCUUCUUGUGUUUUUUGUGCUUCUUGUGCUUCUUAUCCUUUUUGUGUUUCUUGUCCUUCUUUUUCUUCUUUUUCUUUCCACCUCCUUCCUGAUCUGAAUUUCUUGGCGGUGAUGGGCUCGGUGUUGGGCUUUUGGCCUUUUUGACCGGUACAGCUGGUGACCAGUUUGUAGACGGUGACUGAGACUGGACGGGGGAUGGAGGUGCUGGGGGCUUUUUAGC
rnacentral:lncRNA from 1 species